rnacentral:rRNA from 1 species
AUUGAACGCUGGCGGCAGGCUUAACACAUGCAAGUCGAGCGGGGUGAUGGUGCUUGCACUAUCACUUAGCGGCGGACGGGUGAGUAAUGCUUAGGAAUCUGCCUAUUAGUGGGGGACAACAUCUCGAAAGGGAUGCUAAUACCGCAUACGUCCUACGGGAGAAAGCAGGGGAUCACUUGUGACCUUGCGCUAAUAGAUGAGCCUAAGUCGGAUAAGCUAGUUGGUGGGGUAAAGGCCUACCAAGGCGACGAUCUGUAGCGGGUCUGAGAGGAUGAUCCGCCACACUGGGACUGAGACACGGCCCAGACUCCUACGGGAGGCAGCAGUGGGGAAUAUUGGACAAUGGGGGGAACCCUGAUCCAGCCAUGCCGCGUGUGUGAAGAAGGCCUUAUGGUUGUAAAGCACUUUAAGCGAGGAGGAGGCUACUCUAGUUAAUACCUAGGGAUAGUGGACGUUACUCGCAGAAUAAGCACCGGCUAACUCUGUGCCAGCAGCCGCCGUAAUAC